ACAGCCAGAGAAAGCCAAGAAGACAACAACAUCUGCGCCUCUUACAGCCGCCUCACAGAAACUCAGCCUCACAGGCUUACACAUGCCUAAGAAGUUAUGCACUUGGAGAGGUUUCAAAUGCAUGGGACCCAUGGGUUACCGAGAGAAGACCAGCAGGGUUACAAUAAACAGGAUAUAUGAUCUUGGAAGACCUAAUUUUAUUAGAUUGAUGUGUCCUUAAAGGCAAGGAGCUUCUCCCAUGUUUACGACUAUGGUAUCUCCAGCAUAUAGAACAGUUCCAGGCACCCAGUAGGUUCUCAAAUAAGUGUUUGUUAAAUGAAUGGAUGGAUGCUUG
rnacentral:lncRNA from 1 species